AGUGAACGCUGGCGGUAGGCCUAACACAUGCAAGUCGAACGGCAGCACAGUAAGAGCUUGCUCUUACGGGUGGCGAGUGGCGGACGGGUGAGGAAUACACCGGAAUCUACUUUUUCGUGGGGGAUAACGUAGGGAAACUUACGCUAAUACCGCAUACGACCUACGGGUGAAAGCAGGGGAUCUUCGGACCUUGCGCGAUUGAAUGAGCCGAUGUCGGAUUAGCUAGUUGGCGGGGUAAAGGCCCACCAAGGCGACGAUCCGUAGCUGGUCUGAGAGGAUGAUCAGCCACACUGGAACUGAGACACGGUCCAGACUCCUACGGGAGGCAGCAGUGGGGAAUAUUGGACAAUGGGCGCAAGCCUGAUCCAGCCAUACCGCGUGGGUGAAGAAGGCCUUCGGGUUGUAAAGCCCUUUUGUUGGGAAAGAAAAGCAGCAGGUUAAUACCCCGCUGUUCCGACGGUACCCAAAGAAUAAGCACCGGCUAACUUCGUG
rnacentral:rRNA from 1 species